AACGAACGCUGGCGGCGCGCCUAAUACAUGCAAGUCGAGCGAGAAGACGUAGCAAUACGUUUGUAAGGCGGCGAACGGGUGAGGAAUACAUGGGUAACCUACCCUCGAGUGGGGAAUAACUAGCCGAAAGGUUAGCUAAUACCGCGUACGCUCCUUGGACUUCGGUUCAGGGAGGGAAAGCGAUACCGUGGGUAUCGCGCUCUUGGAUGGGCUCAUGUCCUAUCAGCUUGUUGGUGAGGAACGGCUCACCAAGGCUUCGACGGGUAGCUGGUCUGAGAGGACAAUCAGCCACACUGGCACUGCGACACGGGCCAGACUCCUACGGGAGGCAGCAGUAAGGAAUAUUGCGCAAUGGGCGAAAGCCUGACGCAGCGACGCCGCGUGGGGGGAGUGAA
rnacentral:rRNA from 1 species